rnacentral:lncRNA from 1 species
CAGAGGAUCCUGUCAGUCUGUCUGGAUGGUGACUGUAUUACAUCCAGGUCAGAGGUUCCUGUCAGUCUGUCUGGAUGGUGCCUGUAUUACAUCCAGUCAGAGGUUCCUGUCAGUCUGUCUGGAUGGUGACUGUAUUACAUCCAGGUCAGAGGUUCUUGUCAGUCUGUCUGGAUGGUUACUGUAUUACAUCCAGAGGUUCCUGUCAGUCUGUCUGGAUGGUGACUGUAUUACAUCCAGGUCAGAGGUUCCUGUCAGUCUGUCUGGAUGGUGACUGUAUUACAUCCAGUCAGAGGUUCCUGUCAGUCUGUCUGGAUGGUGACUGUAUUACAUCCAGAGGUUCCUGUCAGUCUGUCUGGAUGGUGACUGUAUUACAUCCAGAGGUUCCUGUCAGUCUGUCUGGAUGGUGAUGUAUUACAUCCAGUCAGAGGCACCUGUCAGUCUGUCUGGAUGGUGAUGUAUUACAUCCAGUCAGGUUCUUGUCAGUCUGUCUGGAGGGCGAUGUAUUGGACGUGUCACUAGUCCUUUUGAAGGACUUCCUGGCAGAAGAGGUUACUCGACCAGUCAGCAGCCGAUAUGCCAGUUAAUUAAUUGGUGAAAUUUUGCUAUAGGGGCAGGACUCCGUUGUAUACUGAUGGUCGUGAGCGCAGUCUAGCUG